GUGUUUGCUUUGGCAGUGCAUAUACUAAAAUCGAAACGAUACAGAGAUUAGCAUGGGCCCUGUGCAAGGAUGAAAUGUGAAUUCAUGAACCAGUCCAUAUUAGA